GAGGUCCUCCGUCUCUCUCGUUUUGUGAGGAGGUUGAGGCCAGGGGAUUUCCCUGGGGUGAUCAGUCCCCUACUGGUUCCGGGUCAAGGCAUCUCAGUAAUGCGAAAUCAGUCCUUUAAUUACAUAAAUUAUGACUAUAAUUAUCUGUGUUUUACCCAUUGUAAAAAGUUUGUCUCAACCCCACAGAAAAAUAACACAGGAGUACCUCUGACUCUUUUUUCUUUAUCUCUUAAGCAGACUGGAGAUAGCUAUUUUAAUUCGUCUCCCUCAGGAAUAUAUCUAUUCGUAACGUACUAUACCCCUCUAACUGAGCUAUAACUGAGUUUCUCAAUGUUUGUGUUUUGUCUCUUAAGGAGACCGGAAUAUACCUCCAGGAGUAUCUCUAACUCUAGCAAAUUCUUUCAGGAAUAUAUCUAAAACAGUUAGUAUCAACCCCACAACAAAACACCAGGUAAAGGGGAAUGGAUAGACCUUUAAAAGACUUCUCCGGAGUCGUCUAGAAAUAGGUCUAGAGAGUUUGUACAGGCUUCCAGUGGCCAAGGGGAUAUAUCUCUCAUUUACCCCGAAGAGUUUGUACAGGCUUCCAGUGGCCAAGGGGAUAUAUCUCUCAUUUACCCCGAAGAGUUUGCGGAGGACCCCCUACCACGCAGGUUUAUCUCUCAUUUACACCCCGAGAGUUUGCGGAGGACCCCCUACCACGCAGGUUUAUCUCUCAUUUACAACCUUUUUACACAGCUAGCAAAUUCGUUCAACACACGAGGCAAGCAGGAAUAUCUCUAACAAGUUUGUAACCUUAAAGAAUUCCUUCUCUACCCCGCGGAGAACAGGCAACACAGCCCCACUCGAAGACACGUGUACACAAAACCGAAACAAACAAUAAACCAACAAUAUACUACCGUGCACUUACAACAAACAAACAAUAUACUCACAAACAGCUCGGAGUCCACACCCUACAGUCCAAUUAUUUUCCUUCACUCUCGGCUCUCCCCGCUGGC
ensembl:lncRNA